GUGGGAGCAGCGGCCGCAGGGUUGGCAGACUGGGGAAAGCACAAGAUGGCGGAGUGAGGCGCGCGGGGCUGGGCCGGCCUCUGGGCCGGGGGCAAAUAGGCCCCUGGACGGUUGGUUGCCUCUGUAGGUCGGAACAAGGGUGAAUAUUUUCCUUGAGGUUUAGGUGCUUUUAUAUUCAUCUCAAAAAGAAAACAAAAAUUCUGAACUCAGGAUUUGACAAGUAUUUCUAUGUUGUCUUCAGGAGUGGUGGUCCUGCUUCUUUUAUCUGGCCACUUUCUCUGUUCUUAAAAUGUGGAUCUCUCUUCUCUACAUUUUACCUCCAUGAUUUGGAAUGGAAAAUGCUGCUUUUCUUUUUGUUGCAAUGCUCAGAUGCAACACAGAAACCCCCUAGGAUACAGUGAUUCUGCCAACUUCUUCAGGAAAAAAGAAACAACUGACAAGUCUUCUGCUUCUUGUUAAACUGGAAAGAAAUUGUUUUGCAAGCUGCAGGCUGAUGUUAAAUUUGAAGCAGGUGCUGAGAUGAUGGUAUUUGUGAACUUUUUACAUUUUGUUCCAAACAAGAAGACUAAAUAAGCAGCAAGUAUGGAUGACAUCAGGGUUUUGUUUUGCUUUAAUGUCUUCCAGUUUCAGCCACUAUCAUGAUAAGCACAGCAAAUUCCUAAUGUGUUCUAAUUUAAAAUGAAAGCGAUACUAAAAAUUACAUUUAUAUGUAAACACGGUUCAUCCUGUGACAUAGAUUUAAUGUAUAAGAACAACUUCCAAUUCUGCAAUAAAACCUUUGAUGUGAUAAAGAAGCAUAAAGACAAGAUAAUUUCAUAUGUGAGUGAAUCACAGUAACUAUAAAUAUAAGUUUUUACAGGUAGAAAUCCACAUUUUUGGAUGAGGAGAGAAUUUCUCUUGGAGAAGGAAGCUGUUCUUGAUUUCUUUCUCGGAAGUCUUUGGACAUUUGUUACUUUUUAAAUUUUUUUUUUUUCUUUCUUUUAAGAGAGGACUACAUUGUACAUAUGCUAACCCUAUGAAUACAUGUGGGGAUUUAGUGAGAGGUUGGUAAAAGAAAACAAAACAGAUUUGAACCCAGUGAUGGAACCCCACUCAACUCCGCAGGAUGCGAGACUACUAUAUUUCAAAUUACUUCAUUCUUUUUUGUGGAGUCCUACAUAGAACUUGAGACUUGGUUUUCCACUUGCUGAGACUAGAAGAAAAGUGGCAUAUUGGUUUUCCUGUUAAGAAGAUGUGAUGAAUCCUAUGAUGUGGCCUGUCUUCAACUUGGGACAUUGGAGGAGUGUGGGAAAAUGAGUUAAUGCCUUUCUUCUAAGAAAAAGCAAAAAUGCCUACUGAAUUUCCAUCUGACUUAUGGCAUUUUAUAUUCUAUAGCUCCAGUUUUUGUAAAAUCAUCAGUAACUUUUUUUCUUUGACCCAAGAUGGGUUUUUGAAUGUUUGAUUUAUUUUUAAGGCAAUAGGUGUAAUGUUAGGUUGAAAGGGUGGAAUUAGGUAACUUUCCCCAGUUGGAACUGAGCUUUUUCAUUCAAUGUUGCAAUGUUGCCCAAUGUUGUGCCCAACAUUGCCCAGCUGCAGUGUUGCCCAAACUUGUGAUUGGGUCAUUAUAGACUGAGAAGAAAUUCAGAGUCUUUAAAACUUUAAACAAACAAAAGAAGUUCAAGUAAGGAACAUGAACUGCCUUACCUUAAAACUUACUCCAUAUGAACAGGCUAGUGUAAAACUACCCUUGCUUCCACAUCAACAGAGGUCCAGUGUAUAAAGCGUCAGGUCUUUACAUAGGAAGAAUGAAAUCUUUAUGUCUUUGUGAGUAGAAAAGGAAUUUAAAUUUCUUAGCUGAAAUUUAGAAAAGUCUUUGAUCAUCUCUGUGAUUUAGGGAAUGUUUGCCCAAGACCAUGCAUGCUUUUAUGCUGAAAAUUUAGGUCAUAUUUACCAAUAUUUGACAAGUAUACAACCAAAGGAAAAGUUGAUCACUCUUAAAUGAUUAGUCAAAUUGGCUGACUUGAAUUGGCAUAAGAAAGCUUUUUAGUAAAAUAAUUACUGAAUGUAGAUAAAAUAUAGUUUCCUUUGAGGGCAGUUAUUGAAUGGUAAAGCUCAGUGAAAGGAACUUUGGAUAAAGAUAAUUUAAGCUUUUCUCUAAGUGACUUCCCAUCCACUUCCUGAUGUUUUCAGUAUUUUGGAGUUGUUCAAGACAAUGGAGCCUAUAUACAUGAGUUCCCAUUGGUGUGUUGAAAAUAUAUCAUGCCUGAAUUUGUAUUUCUCAAGUUACCUAGUUUCCCCAUGUUCUUUUGGCAACUCUUUGGGUAGGAUCACUUGGCAGGGGAAUAGGGUACCUAUACCGUCAGCACCAGUGAAACCAGGUCUCACCCUCUUAACUGAAUAUGUAUGAGACUGCUCUAUAUUUUUCUCUAUAUUUCUCUAGUUGCUCUAAAUUUUUCAUUUCACUUCUAGGAGAACUGCUGUUUACUGCUCUCUUUCAAAUUAUUAUUGCAUUUUCCAUGGCUAUCACCAGAGGACAUUAAACAACAUGGGUAUAUUCCAAUUGUAUUUGCCCAAUGUUUGCUUACUAUAUCUACAUACUUUCCUGGGGUCGAUUUUGUUCCCCUAGAUUACAAAAGCUAUCACUUUGGCCAGGACUAUGCCUCAAUCUGUAGCUGUGUCUGCUUCCAUUAUUUUUGCUCAUCCAUGUCAGCUGGCAGUUUUUCUUUUAAAAAGUUAAACAAAAACGGGGUAUGUGCAAUAGAAAUAUAUAUAUAUGUAUAUUUUAAUACUUGUGGACAAAUGUUACAAGUUGUUUAAGAACAACAAAAUCACCAAUGUCUUCCAUUUUGAGAUGUGUAUAGUUUUGUAAGCAUUAGUGCUUGGUAGCAUAUUGUAGUGCCAUGUUAGGGAUUAGUGCAUGAACCUAGUAAAAAUUUAAACUUCAGGAUGAAUUAUUGAUAAUAAUCAGUGGUGUAAAAAGAGUGGAAAAUCUAGACCUUUUUUUCAUAAAUAUCUAAAUCCAUUAUAUUCUCCCUGGGGGAAGAUUAAGGCCAAAAAGACUCAUUUAUGAAUAGAAAUGUGGGGUCACAAUGUAAAAUACUGUUUUGAGGAUAUGUAAUCUUUCCAUGAGGUCGCUGAAUACCAGUUGGCUUUGUCUUGUGAAAUCUCAAAACAAGACCCCGUAUGAUUCUGCUUUGCUCUUAGUUUUAGGUAAGAUUGUUCUUACGUUACUCACAUUGUAUGUCCUCUAGGCUUAUUAUUUUCCACUUUUGCAUCAAGAAAUUAUGUUUUGCAUGUCUUACUGAGAUGCUAUGUUAAUUGCUUAAGUCAGUCUUUCUUAAUCUGUAGAUCAUUUAGGUUUCCUACCGCAGCAUGCUACAUGUUCAUGGAAGAACACUGCUCAGUAGUUUAGUGUCCUAGGUUAGCUUGUCAUGGGCUCUUCCUUACAAAUAUGCAGAAUUGUAUAUUGAUGGGAUUCCAGACCUUGUUAAUGAGAUUGGAAACACAGCUGAUGGCAUCUACCUAGGUUGCCAUGUAAUAACUAGUUCUUUUGCUUGGGUAUAGUAAGCCACCUCAGACAGCUUUCACUUUUUUCUAUUUUCCUUGUAGAAAUAAAAGUUGUUUUGUUCUGAAAGUAUAAGAUAGCUUUAUAUAGAAAAGAAACUCCUACCUCUAAAAGCUGCCUUGAGAAACUGGAAAUGGCAGUUUUCUGAGGUGAUUUUUAGAUCUCAGUACCAGAGUUCAGGAUUUAUUGACGAUUCUACAGUUAGCAUGACAGGAAAUGCAAAACUAUUUUAAUAUGUAUGUGCAGAGGCAAGUUUAAACAAACAGACUCUUGGACAGCAGAUCUCCAGGGACCCAGGUUUAGGUUCUCACAGUCUAUUUAAAGUAGUUGUACUCUUAGCUCAAGUAGUUUAGUGCCUGGAAGAAUCCAUUUCUGAAAAGCAUUUGAACAUUUUUAAAAAUACCUCUGAAAAGGUAAUGAAUACAAAAUAGCACAGUAUAUAGAAAAGGAUAUUUUCUUUUGCAAAAAAAAAAAAAAAAAAGCCAUAAAAUGAACCAAUACUUUUCAAGAGGUAGAAUUUUAGUAGCAAUAACAAUUUUGUAUGUGUAAUAAACUGCAUUAGCAAGGUUGUACAGUAGAGUAUUACUACUUGAGUUUGUGGGGCUCUGUGAUCAACACAGUCUCACAAAAGGAAAAAGAUGUUCUGGGUAAAGAGCAUAUAAAAGAUACUUUUAAAGCUAUGAAUGUAUAUGGGAAUAUCAUUGUGUGAGAAAUUCCAACUUUUGGUAAGUAAAAGGAUAAAGCCCUUGUUUCCUAAAGCAGAGGGUUAGAGCCUUUGAACUAAACUUUUCUAGUGCUUCAACAUGUACUCCUACUGAUGUAAGCCCACUGAAGCCAUGGUAUGGGGGUUUUGCUUAUGUUUCUUUUAGCAACAGGCAUUUAUAGAACAAUAUAAUUUUUGUUUUGUUGUCUCAUCUUCAUUAAUUUCCUGAGUGCAUUUUUUUCAAAGGGAGAAGUUAGUUGUGUGUGUAUAAUUAGGAUUUUUCCCAGAACUUAAAUAGCUGGCUUUUUCUCAAGCCUGUGACUGGUUCGGUUAGGGGAAUUAUGAUUUAAAGAUGUAAAGCAAAGGAUUGAAAGAGAUAAUAUCCAAAUGUAGUCUGUUGGUUUUGUUCAUUUCUUUCUAAUCUUGUCUAACAGAUGCGCCAAGGUCUGUGGCCUGUGAGUGCUUACUUUAAUGAGAAAUUUGAUCUGUAGAAUCACACAGCUCACAUCAGGAUAUAAUAGUGGAAUGAGGAUGACUUCUUAUUCCCUUUUACCUCAUGCUAAUCUUGGCCAUUUAGCACCUUGAAGAUCUCUAAAAAAAAGAUUAUUAGGUCUAUGAUCCCUUGCUUUCCCAGCCGGGGGUGGAGAGGUGGGGGGAUUGGAAGAUGAGUGGAUCUAAGGAGAUGGUGCUUCUUCAAUUUUUCUGAUAUGGCAACUCCAAAUGAUAGAAAGGCUGUAAUAAUUGAUUAUAUAGCUCUUCUAAAUGUCCUGUGCCAGAGGUUGGUAUUGGAGACAUUGGAAUAACCAAGCAAUAUUCAACAUCUGCACAAUCAGGAGGACACCGCCACUUACGGUGAUUCAAAAGUUUGGUUACUUGGAACAAUGAAAGAUUGACUUUAACAGCCACGUUCAUAGUUCUAAAUGCUAAAAUGUGCUACAAGUGUUUGUUGUCUCAAAGUGUGCGAUUAAUUACUCCUCAGUGUUGUGGUCUCAUGUUUACUCUUUGUGUACCUGUGAUAUGCAAAAUAUGAAGAGACCCUUGGCCUCCAGGAGUUUACAUUCUCAUGGUGCUGCUGAUGCAAGCAAAUUGCUUCUAGUUUAUUCAGAACAUUGCUUGGCUAUAGAUUAUACCAUAUUUGGAAGGAUCCCUUGGCCAACAGUUUUCAAAAGCAGAGGGCUAUGAUACAUUUCAGGGCAUUGACUUUGAGUUUACAUUGUAUUAGUUCUGCUGUUCAUAAACUCCUCCCAAGGGAGCUGUGCAGUUAAUGCUCAUUAAUAUGAAUCAGAAAUUCUGCCUAAGAGUGUCUUCACCACCCCUAAACCACCUAUGUUGUUCUAUGCUAUAGCUGUCAGUAAAUGGCCAGGAAAACUUAAAUGCUCCAAAAGACUGUACAUCUCUCAGUUCUUUCUUUUCCCAGAGUUUUUACAUCAUCCUCUAUCCAAAGGACCGGGAUUUGCAAUUAAGCCUUUUGUCACUCAAUAGUGGUCCUAAAUCUUAACCUUUUUUGCGUGUGAUUUUUGUACCUCUAUUCUGAUGCAGCAUUGUGAUAGAUGUGGAACACUUGCCUGCAAUCGCUUAACACACAUUUUUGGUUGAAAUUUUGCAUGUAUCAUUAUUUCCUUUAACUCCUCUGAAUCUAGAGAUUUAAUCUGCAUGUUUAUUAAAACUGGGUCUGGUUCAAAAUACAAGCAAUAGCGGCAGGCCUAUAACUCUGAUCUUACUAAUAUCCUAAUGCAUGAUUGAAAAUGUCCAGUGUAAUGUGGUUACUAGUAAUUAUACAUAUGCAUUUAUUAAUAAUGAAGCAAUAGAGACUUAUACCAAUAGCUUGAAUUUAUUGUUUGAAUUUUUUUGUAAUUAAAGAUGAUCUUCCAUUGAAAAUGGGAGCUUAAAGAUAAACAGGGGCAACCAAAAGACAUUCAAAUUAUCAGGAUUAGAGCAUUAUAAUGCUCACCCUCUAAUCUCUUGCCUGUUUCCAUUAGUCCCCAAGCAUGUUUAAAAACAAAAGGCGGGCCUCCCCUGGUGGCGGUUGCAAGGCUGCCUGCAGCCUCUGCAGUGCCAGUUCAAUUCCCCAGCCACUGGCGAGGGUCCCACAAAAAAAAAUAAAAUAAAAUAAAAUAAAAACAAAAGGCACAAACUAAGCAUGUUGAAUUAAUAAAUAAGCUGCUAUGGCUCUAAAAAUCAGAAAGGUGCAGAGUUUCAAAAAUGGUGGGAAAGUAGGGAAUACCAUUGUGGGUAUGUAAAAUCAUAAGGGGUUUAUGUGAUGUUUCAUGCGGCCUAAGUUUAGAUCUCUUAAAACGGUUAUCUUGGAAGUAAAUUGAGGUGAUACGCAUAUUUCAAAUGUUCACCAGGAUUUUCAGAUAGUUAGGCAACUGUUGUGGAUGGGCCUGUUAUCUAGCAGUCAUGAUUGAUCCCUGCAACAAAGGAGACUGGUCCAUUUUGUGGAAAUAGUCUUGAAAAUAGACACAUCAGUGAUUUGGUUUUAUUUUUAAUUAUACUAUUACAUUAAAGGUUAUAUUUGUGGUCUCUUUUAGCAACAGUUUAUUAUUGAUAUUUUGGUUAGACUGUGUAACUUGUUACCAAAAGCUAUUGCUACCCCCUAAACAGUAACAGGUUUUCCCAUUUUAGGGGAAAAAGAAAAACCUUGCCUUUUGUUUUUUUAUUUGAUUAAAAUAUCAGUUUGUUGGGGUAGCUUAAAAAAAAUUUUUUUUAGAAGAUUCUUGAUUGAAUUAACACCAGUAAAUAGUCCUGACAAAUAAUGUACAAAUGGAAUUCAUUGUCUGAAUGACAUCUACAUAGAAGAAAAUUCAGGAUUAAACUGAUUUCAUGUAAAUGUUUCCAGAGUUUUUAUUCUAUGACUGAUAAGUCUUUUUCCCCCCAAUUAAUCUCAUUUUCUUUGUUGUGGGAUUUUACCCCCAACACCUUUGGAAAUGGUCAAGUGGAAUAGAAACUUUCUGGGGGUUUGGGAAGUGAAACAGACUUCACUGCAGAGUUUGGCACCCACUCAAAUACAGAAAGUGAGAUGCAUCCCAUUUGCAGAUUUUCUCUUUGCCACGUAUUUUAUCUGUCAGCCAAUGACACCAGUAAGAUUUAAGGAGAGUCAUAAACGCUCUUCUCUAUCAUUCUACUAAGGCAUAGAAAAAUACUAAUAUUGGAAAAGCAAACAUUUCUUCAGGAACGCAUCCGCACUUAGAUAAAAGUUACUAACAGCUUUCAAAAAGUCAUGCGUGGCUUGAAGAUGGCCAUUUUUCUCCCACAGUAAGGGUAUCCCUGGAAUAUAUUCUCAUCAGCCUUUAAAAAUAAUAGUGGUUUUUGUGCUCACCCUAAAGCAACCCACCACUUGUAAUGAAGAAAAUAUUAAUGUUCACUUAGUUUUACUUACUCUCCUGUAAGUACAGGAGUCCCUCACUGUUCUUGCUGUUCGGUAUCCUCCACUGCACCACUGAUAAUGUUAAAAAAUUUUUCACUGAAUGUUUAAAGUAUAAAAGGCAGCUUGCUCUUUAAUCUAUGCAUCUUGGAAUUUUAGAAGUUUUAUUCUUUGUUGUAAAAGGGAACAACUUUAUGAGAUGGAAACUCUGCACCUGUGUGUGUGUAUGUGUGUGUAUUUUGGCAAUAAAGCAGCAUGGGCUGAGGAUGCACUGAAAUGUCACUGUGUGUUGUUUGUUAUGCAGAAUGGGCAAUUUCUAAUGUAGUAAAUUGUGGAACUGGGAAAAGGGCUAUGUCCUGAAUUACGUUGA